GACGUAGGGCGCGAGCGUUGUCCGGAUUUAUUGGGCGUAAAGAGCUCGUAGGCGGCUCGUUGCGUCGGCUGUGAAAAACCCGCAGCUCAACUGUGGGCUUGCAGCUGAUACGGGCGGGCUGGGAUUCGGUAGGGGAGACUGGAAUUCCUGGUGUGAGCGGUGAAAUGCGCAGAUAUCAGGAGGAACACCGGUGGCGAAGGCGGGUCUCUGGGCGAUAUCGACGCUGAGGAGCGAAAGCGUGGGGAGCGAACAGG
rnacentral:rRNA from 1 species